AACGAACGCUGGCGGCAGGCUUAACACAUGCAAGUCGAGCGCCCCGCAAGGGGAGCGGCAGACGGGUGAGUAACGCGUGGGAAUCUACCCAUCUCUACGGAAUAACGCAUGGAAACGUGUGCUAAUACCGUAUACGUCCUUCGGGAGAAAGAUUUAUCGGAGAUGGAUGAGCCCGCGUUGGAUUAGCUAGUUGGUGGGGUAAAGGCCUACCAAGGCGACGAUCCAUAGCUGGUCUGAGAGGAGGAUCAGCCACACUGGGACUGGGACACGGCCCAGACUCCUACGGGAGGCAGCAGUGGGGAAUAUUGGACAAUGGGCGCAAGCUUGAUCCAGCCAUGCCGCGUGAGUGAUGAAGGCCCUAGGGUUGUAAAGCUCUUUCACCGGUGAAGAUAAUGACGGUAACCGGAGAAGAAGCCCCGGCUAACUUCGUGCCAGCAGCCGCCGUAACAC
rnacentral:rRNA from 1 species